UACGAAGGGGGCUAGCAUUGCUCGGAAUUACUGGGCGUAAAGGGCGCGUAGGCGGACAGUUUAGUCAGAGGUGAAAGCCCAGGGCUCAACCUUGGAAUUGCCUUUGAUACUGGCUGUCUUGAGUUCGGGAGAGGUGAGUGGAAUGCCGAGUGUAGAGGUGAAAUUCGUAGAUAUUCGGCGGAACACCAGUGGCGAAGGCGACUCACUGGCCCGAUACUGACGCUGAGGCGCGAAAGCGUGGGGAGCAAACAGG
rnacentral:rRNA from 1 species